UUUUAGGUGGGGCUCUGCAGAACGAGUUCUGACUGGAGACGCCAGUCCUUCCACAACCGGAGUGGAAGGCAGCCAGGCUGAGUUGCUUAGGAGACCAGCAAUGUAAGGCUGCCAGAGAUGUGAAGGUGAGAAAGACAGGCCCUGCCUUCAGGGAUCUCACAUCUUAGAACGGAGGCAAAUAAAGAGCACCAGACACUAGCAAGGAUGUGGAGCGACGGGAACGCUUAUUCAUGGCUGGCGGACAUGCAAAAUGGCACAGGCGCUUUGGAAGGCAGUUUGGCAGCUUCGUACAAAACUAAACAUGCUCGUACCGUACGAUCAGCAAUUACAACUGUUGGUAUUUACCCAAAGGAGUUGAAAACUGAUGUCCACGCAAAAACCUGCGUGCAGGUGUUUAUAGCAGCUUCAUUCAUAAUUACCAAAACUUGGAAGCAACCAAGAUGUCCUUCAGUAGAAGAGUGAUAAACUGUGGCAUGUCUGGACAUGGAUUAUUCAGCACUGCAAAGAAAUGAGCUUAUCAAGCCAGGAAAAGACAUGAAAGAACGUUAAAUGCAUAUAAGCAAAUCCAAAAAGGCUACGUACUCUAUGAUUCCAACUAUAUGACAGUCUGCAAAAGAUGAAAAACUAUGGAGACACUAACAAGAUCAGUGGUUGGAGGAUUGGGGGACCAGGGGGUGGUAGUGAUGAAC